UCAGUGGCGAACGGGUGAGUAACAGGUACGAACAUACCUCCAAGCGGGGCAUAGUCCCGGGAAACCGGGAGUAAUUCCCCAUAAUGCCUUCGGGGUUAAAGAUUUAUCACUUGGAGAAUGGCGUGCUUACUACCAGCUUGUUGGUGAGGUAAAAGCUCACCAAGGCUAUGACGGUUACCGGCUCUUAGCGGAGGGUCCGGCACAAUGGGACUGAGAUACGGCCCAUACACCUACGGGUGGCAGCAGUUAGGAAUUUUGCGCAAUGGACGAAAGUCUGACGCAGCGACGUCGCGUGUAGGAUGACGGCCUUCGGGUUGUAAACUACUUUUAUACAGCAAUAUAGUUAUAUGAAUAAGCACCGACUAAUUACGUGCCAGCAGUCGCGGUAACACGUAAGGUGCAAGCGUUACCCGGUUUUAUUGGGCGUAAAGGGUCUGUAGGCGGUCUUUUAAGUCUUGUUUCAAAGCCCCCGGCUUAACCGGGGAAAGAGGCAGGAUACUAGAAGACUAGAGUGAUAUCGGGGUUACUGGAAUUUGUAGAGUAGGGGUAAAAUCCGUGGAUACUACAAAGAACACCAAUCGCGAAGGCGGGUAACUAGGUAUUUUCUGACGCUGAAAGACGAAAGCUAGGGGAGCAAAUCAGAUUAGAGACCUGAGUAGUCCUAGCCGUAAACGAUGUCUGUUAAUUUUUCUCGAUUCAUCGGGAGAGAUGCAAGCUAACGCGUUAAACAGACCGCCUGGGGAGUAUAGCCGCAAGGCCGAAACUCAAACGAAUUGGCGGGGAGGCGCACAACCAGUGGAGCAUGUGGUUCAAUUCGAUACGAAGCGAUGAACCUUACCUGGGCUUGACAUAUAUUUGCACGGCCCCCGAAAAGGGGUCUUCCUUCGAGGGUAAUAUACAGCUGUUGCAUGGCUGUCGUCAGCUCGUGACGUGAGUUGUUCUCUUAAGUGAGGCAACGAGCGCAACCCCCAUCGUAUGUUACUGUGUCAUACGAAACUGCCCAGCAUUAUUUUUGUUGGGAGGAAGGAGGGGACGACGUCAAGYCAGCAUGAUGCUUAUGUCCAGGGCUACACACAUCCUACAAUGGAGCAUACAACGGGUUGCAAUACCGCGAGGUGGAGCUAAUCCCUAAAAUGUUCCUCAGUUGGGAUUGCAGGCUGAAAUUCGCCUGCAUGAACUUGGAAUUGGUAGUAAUCGCAGGUCAGCAGACUGCGGUGAAUACGUUCUCGCCUCUUGCACACACUGCCCGUCAAAUCAGCAAAGUUGAGGGCACCCGAAAUCCCGCGUUUGUGGGACUAAGGUGAAUUCAGCGAUGAGGGUUAAGUCGUAACAAGGUAGCCG
rnacentral:rRNA from 1 species